rnacentral:rRNA from 1 species
CCCUUAGAUGUUCUGGGCUGCACGCGCGCUACACUGAAGCGUUCAACGAGUAUUCACCUUGCCCGGGAGGGUUGGGUAAUCUUUUGAAAACGCUUCGUGAUGGGGAUAGAUUAUUGCAAUUAUUAAUCUUCAACGAGGAAUUCCUAGUAAGCGCGAGUCAUCAGCUCGUGCUGAUUACGUCCCUGCCCUUUGUACACACCGCCCGUCGCUCCUACCGAUUGGGUGAUCCGGUGAAUAAUUCGGACUGCAGCACUGCUUGGUCUCCAGGCUUUGCAGCGGAAAGUUUAGUGAACCUUAUCACUUAGAGGAAGGAGAAGUCGUAACA